rnacentral:lncRNA from 1 species
UUCAAUAGAACACUGUUUCGCAUGAGACGGUUCCUCAAAAAACAUAAUAUCGUGUAUGAGCUAAACAAAAACUUAGGUUUUAUAUGGUUUUAUGUUUUCCAGUGGAUCUGGUUAGAGCUAUGUCACGCUAAAUGGCGUUCUUUGCAUUUCUUCUUACAAUACUUUUCAAUAGAACACUGUUUCGCAUGAGACGGUUCCUCAAAAAACAUAAUAUCGUGUAUGAGCUAAACAAAAACUUAGGUUUUAUAUGGUUUUAUGUUUUCCAGUGGAUCUGGUUAGAGCUAUGUCACGCUAAAUGGUGUUCUUUGCAUUUCUUCUUGCAAUACUUUUCAAUAGAACACUGUUUCGCAUGACACGGUUCCUCAAAAAACAUAAUAUCGUGUAUGAGCUAAACUAAAACUUAGGUUUUAUAUGGUUUUAUGUUUUCCAGUGGAUCUGGUUAGAGCUAUGUCACGCUAAAUUGUGUUCUUUGCAUUUCUUCUUACAAUACUUUUCAAUAGAACACUGUUUCGCAUGAGACGGUUCCUCAAAAAACAUAAUAUCGUGUAUGAGCUAAACUAAAACUUAGGGUUUUUUACAUGGUUUUAUGUUUUCCAGUGGAUCUGGUUAGAGCUAUGUCACGCUAAAUGGUGUUCUUUGCAUUUCUUCUUACAAUACUUUUCAAUAGAACACUGUUUCGCAUGAGACGGUUCCUCAAAAAACAUAAUAUCGUGUAUGAGCUAAACAAAAACUUAGGUUUUAUAUGGUUUUAUGUUUUCCAGUGGAUCUGGUUAGAGCUAUGUCACGCUAAAUGGUGUUCUUUGCAUUUCUUCUUGCAAUACUUUUCAAUAGAACACUGUUUCGCAUGACACGGUUCCUCAAAAAAGAUAAUAUCGUGUAUGAGCUAAACUAAAACUUAGGUUUUACAUGGUUUUAUGUUUUCCAGUGGAUCUGGUUAGAGCUAUGUCACGCUAAAUUGUGUUCUUUGCAUUUCUUCUUACAAUACUUUUCAAUAGAACACUGUUUCGCAUGACACGGUUCCUCAAAAAACAUAAUAUCGUAUAUGAGCUAAACUAAAACUUAGGGUUUUACAUGGUUUUAUGUUUUCCAGUGGAUCUGGUUAGAGCUAUGUCACGCUAAAUUGUGUUCUUUGCAUUUCUUCUUACAAUACUUUUCAAUAGAACACUGUUUCGCAUGACACGGUUCCUCAAAAAACAUAAUAUCGUGUAUGAGCUAAACAAAAACUUAGGGUUUUACAUGGUUUUAUGUUUUCCAGUGGAUCUGGUUAGAGACAUGUCACGCUAAAUAGCAUUCUUGUCAUUUCUUCUUUCCAUCCUUUAUAUUAUAUUAAAUAAUAUUUCAUACGGUAUUAUUUCGUUCUUUAAUUUAAUGUGUUUUUAGUGCUUCUGAAUGUGAUUUUGUUUUAAAUACUUAGCUUAUUAGCAUUCAUCAGUAUCCAAGAAUUCAUCAUACCACUGCUAAUCAAUAAACAAACAUCGGUCUUAGCGUUUAAAUACCGAAAAAAUACCUGCCUGUUCAUUUAUUACUUGUUUCAUUAAACAGGAAUUUGCAUAUCGAUCGUUUUCAAUUAACUUCGAACAGUUACAACUACACGUAAACUGAGCAUGUAGUCUAUUUACAGCAAGAUCGUGACCGCUGACUGCAGCUCUCCUUCUCCCUCCAUUUCACUCCCAACCGACAUUUUCACCUUUGCUGAUAUGAUUACUCCACAGGAUACCUCCAUCCCCUGCAUACCUGGUCGCUAGAUUCGGCUGGCACGUCAUAUCGGUUUGACAGCCAACUCACGUAACUAUUGUUGAUCGACCCACAGUCCACUGAAGUGCCUACGAUGAAGGGAACAACAUGGACAGUUCUACUCCGAAUUACUCCAACCCAUGCGAUGUUCAUCCAUGCGACAACCCACCUGAUCUGAGUGGAACUUAACUGAAGCAAGAGAGUGAUGCCUAAUUCCAUCUGCCAACUAGCUCCACUUCUCUCCCGUGCACCAGUCGCACCCACACCGACGUGUUCAUCUUGCCAGUUUUCCUCACACCCGUCCACUUGUCUCUUGAAGAUUGGCGUCCACAACACCAACGGUUGGUUAGGUCAUGCAAGCAUUGUUACAAUUGAUAAAAACACAUAUUUUCAUUUAGUGAAUGUGAU